UACGAAGGGGGCUAGCGUUGUUCGGAAUCACUGGGCGUAAAGGGCGCGUAGGCGGCUGUUCAAGUCGGGGGUGAAAUCCCGUGGCUCAACCACGGAAUGGCCUUCGAUACUGGACGGCUCGAGACCGGGAGAGGUGAGUGGAACUGCGAGUGUAGAGGUGAAAUUCGUAGAUAUUCGCAAGAACACCAGUGGCGAAGGCGGCUCACUGGCCCGGUACUGACGCUGAGGUGCGAAAGCGUGGGGAGCAAACAGG
rnacentral:rRNA from 1 species